UAAUGCCUAGGAAUCUGCCUGGUAGUGGGGGAUAACGUCCGGAAACGGACGCUAAUACCGCAUACGUCCUACGGGAGAAAGCAGGGGACCUUCGGGCCUUGCGCUAUCAGAUGAGCCUAGGUCGGAUUAGCUAGUUGGUGGGGUAAUGGCUCACCAAGGCGACGAUCCGUAACUGGUCUGAGAGGAUGAUCAGUCACACUGGAACUGAGACACGGUCCAGACUCCUACGGGAGGCAGCAGUGGGGAAUAUUGGACAAUGGGCGAAAGCCUGAUCCAGCCAUGCCGCGUGUGUGAAGAAGGUCUUCGGAUUGUAAAGCACUUUAAGUUGGGAGGAAGGGCAGUAAAUUAAUACUUUGCUGUUUUGACGUUACCGACAGAAUAAGCACCGGCUAACUCUGUGCCAGCAGCCGCGGUAAUACAGAGGGUACAAGCGUUAAUCGGAAUUACUGGGCGUAAAGCGCGCGUAGGUGGUUCGUUAAGUUGGAUGUGAAAUCCCCGGGCUCAACCUGGGAACUGCAUUCAAAACUGACGAGCUAGAGUAUGGUAGAGGGUGGUGGAAUUUCCUGUGUAGCGGUGA
rnacentral:rRNA from 1 species